rnacentral:lncRNA from 1 species
AAACCAGUCUGUCGGUGUCAUACCAACCUAGGACAGUGGUGCUGAAAUUUGCACUAAGAGUGAUUCCAAAUGGGGUACUCCACUCACAGCCCAAAUACCGCUUACAUCAGUGCUCAUGUGCUGGAUGGAGAGAGAAAGGUCCUUUGCUGCCCAUUGAACACAGCCCAGACCUUUGAGAAUAUUCCGUUUCCCAAGAUGAAGAAAAAUAAUCGUUCCAAUGUGUAUUUGAGAUUCUGCUGUCAGAGGCUUUUCUGCUUUCACUCAGGCUCAGUCCUGAGAUGGCUGUUAACUUCAGUAAAGAUCAGAACCCAUUUAGUCCCUGUCAGUGGAUAUGAGAAAAAGGAGAGGGAGU